UCCUUCUUUUUUCAGUUGAUGUCAAGCUGCAAUCGUGAGACAAGUGUACCUGUCCAUCAUUAACCGUGUCAUUAUGAUUGAACAGUUAGAUUUUCUCACGUUGCAUAAAAUCCGUGACUUUUACUUGCUGUGGUCCAGUCCAGUUUCUUUGCUUUGCCUUUGGAACCAGAAACCAGGAGAUUCCUUCCUCCUUCUUGAAUUUGCUCAAACAACCAGGAGAUUCCUUCCUCCUUUUUGAAUUUGCUCAAACACACAUCAUCAAAAGAGGUUUAUACUCUGCAGUACUUCAAUUUUGCUCAUUCCAACACAACGAGGAAUUGAGUGAUUCUCAAUAUUUAUGUGUUAAGCAGUUUAAUGGUGAUGCAAAAUUAUCUGGAGGCAGCCCACUAUUAGGAGGAAGCAACCAAACUUAUCACAUUCAGCUUUGGUCCAUCUUAGUGGCCGUGAGAAAAUAUUUCCUGGCUAAGGCACAAGUAAAA